GAUCUAUUCCCUGGAUUGAUAAUCAUGAAUCCUCGUAGUUUGCAUACGUGUAAGCGAGGAGGAUUCGAAGGGAUGGUUCGAAGGGAUGAUUCACGUAUCCUGAAUUUGACGGAAUGGGUUGGGUUGGAUGUUGUCGAAGUCGGAUCUCUUUCAAACCCUCGGGUCGAACUCGAAGCGGGACGAGGAAGGCAAUUCACAUUUCUCUCGACUUCAAUUAAGUUCCACGACCUAACGAGGAAAAAGUGAGUCGGCAGUUUUAUUGUUUCCGAUUGUCUGAGGAGUUUAAUUACUUGUAAGUUUAUUUUCUUAUUUAAAAACAAGUUUUUCCAUGCUUUCCGAAAAUUCGUUAUCUUUCAUAGUACCUAACUCAGAUAUUGCCUUCACUCUUGAAGGAGUUAUAUUUUUUUUGCCUCUAAGAAACCAGCACUGGGAGGUACGCCCCCUGAUCGCUUCACGGUCCAAUCCCUCUAAGCCCUUGUUUCACAGCUCAGGCAAUAUGCAUCACGCAUUAAUUCGUAAAAUUUAUUAACUUUAUUUUUACUAAGAAUAAACCGUCCUUUAGGAGAACGAAAUUGUUCCGAGGCCAAAAAUUGUCCUUAUCGGAGGACGAUUUAUUGGUACUUGGGUAGUUUUAUACGUAUGCAAAUUGAGAGUGUCAAGUUGCAUUUUCAGGAUGUUUACAAGUCGGGAGAUAGUAACGGAUUUUUCAAGGGCGGUUCGGAAGUAUUGAAGAGCUGCGGAAAUUCUGCAAGAUGGUCCGGAUUUUUUGUCAUUUUUGUCGCAAUAUAAGCGGGAAUUUCACAUUUUUAAAUUCUUUCGAAUUUCGUCAAUUGGAGGUACUGAAUUUUUUGGGAAUGUACUGAAAAAGUACUGUUAAAGUGCUGAUUUUUAGCCAGACUGUUUUAGUAGACACCCUGAUUUUCGUCCGAUUAAUUUAAGCCCCAAACAUAGGUUAAUAUAGUGCAUUUAAAAAAAAAAAAAAAAAACUAAAAAAUAAGUAGAAGAAAAAAAACACUCAUUAUGCAUAAAUCAUGUAACUAACCAAUCUGUACCGUCCAGUUAUCUUUCUCCGAUUUUGCCGAAAAUAAAGUGUCAUUUGUCGCGAAUAAUUUAAAAUGUCGAACGAAUGUCGAGUUUCAUUGGAGCAUUAAUUUAUAACGAGCUGGUCCUCGGUCGUAGGAAGUUCACAGUGCCCGUGGAAAAAAAGGGAAAAUAAACCGACAACUUGAAAGUAGGUUUAUGUGCCAUCAGGCCUAGACCUUCUGUGAUAUGAUAACGUUCAUUGAGUGCUUGAUAACCUGUGAAGUUUUUUCGGGUCUCGGAACGUAAUACCCACGGCCGAAGUUCAUUCUUCAUGUAUUGAUUGGGUUGAUGUCAUCCGUUCGAUCCUCGGUUUUUCCUUUAAUCUAGAGGAUUAUGGUCUCAUUUUUCAGCCCUUUGUCGCUUGCGCCGGAGAUUUCCAGUUUCAGCCAUCCGAGAGAGGGGAGGAGGAAGAAAGGGUGAGGGCGCGACGAGUGGGAAGGGGAAAAGAGGGAAAGGAUACAGACAAAGUGAUUGCAUUCAGGGAGAACCUGAAAAACCGAGAAAAGGCGAAAAUAUGGAAGUUAUCCGAAAGUAAGAAACGGUCGAAUUUUGUCCAUGAGUGAAAACUGCACUGCUUGCUAAUUCAAAAUCCGAGGACCAGUACUCCCAUUUCCCGAAACUUGCUCCGAAUUCCGGAACUUUUGAGAUUUUCCAGGAUUUUUCCCAGAAC
rnacentral:lncRNA from 1 species